rnacentral:rRNA from 1 species
UGCCAGCAGCCGCGGUAAUACGUAGGUGGCAAGCGUUGUCCGGAAUUAUUGGGCGUAAAGCGCGCGCAGGCGGCUUCUUAAGUCUGAUGUGAAAUCUCGGGGCUCAACCCCGAGCGGCCAUUGGAAACUGGGGAGCUUGAGUGCAGAAGAGGAGAGUGGAAUUCCACGUGUAGCGGUGAAAUGCGUAGAGAUGUGGAGGAACACCAGUGGCGAAGGCGACUCUCUGGUCUGUAACUGACGCUGAGGCGCGAAAGCGUGGGGAGCAAACAGGAUUAGAUACCCUGGUAGUCC